AGAAGCAGGCUCCAUGCACUGGGAGCCUGAUGUGGGAUUCGAUCCCGGGUCUCCAGGAUCGCGCCCUGGGCCAAAGGCAGGCGCCAAACCGCUGCGCCACCCAGGGAUCCCCGACUCAGAGAAUGUUAAAAGUAGCGAGGAAGGAGUGAAGUGAUAGCUGAUGGCAGGAUUAGAACAGCCAUCCCCGAUGCAUUUGGAAUUCAGUUGAUCUCAGUGUUACUAUAGAAAUUCCAAAGAAUUUGGCCUCCUGAUAAAGAAGUCAGAACUUGGGCUGGGUUCUAGAGGGUGGUAGGAUUUGAGAGGAGAAUGAGGAUGGGUUGCCAAGUUUAGCGAAUAAAAAUGUAUGUCCUGAGUAUGAGAUUCAUCAUGUAUCAGAAAUUAAAAAUUAACUGCCCAAUCCUGUAUUUUCUCCAGCAGUCCUGAAAGGGAGGAUAUUUUAGGCAGAAGAACACGUGUGCUAACUUGUGUGGAGAGAACAGCGAACAGGACGGUGGUGUUGGGAAGCUGCCAGCAGGAGUGGGGGGUGGGAUAGAAUGGAAGACAGGUUGGUGGGUGGCACUAGGUCGUGACUAAUGCAGCCUUGGGCAGCUGCUCUGGCACAAAUCUGUGGACACACCAUGCCAUCCACACUUUUCAGUCCCCAUGACAACCAAAGAGGAUUCUUUGAUCAAAGAAAUAGGACUGAUGGAGGAGAAUGGAUACAAAGGUAUGGUUCACCUUGAAAGUUUACCCAAAAGGCGAAAAUUGUACUUGCUUGGGCAAAGGAUCGGCCGGCUGUAUCACAUCCCAGAUGCUCUUCAUGGAAGGGCACGUCCUGCGCCUUCAGGAGUUCUCUGCUUUUCUGUGCACUGCCAUAACUGUGGUGACACUGUAGAUGUAUGUUCUUCUGAGGUUGGUUAGUACCUGGCCAUGGACUUAAAAGCCCACUCACAGAUCUUUAGGGGUGGCUGGGUGUGGGAGCCCAGGUAAUAUCACCGCUCAGAAGCUCACACAGGCGCUCUCCUGAUGCCCACUGCAGCCCGGAGCCCUCACCCACACCCCUGCUUCCCUCGCAGAGAGAAUAUAAGCCAUCUAUCUCCCCUCAGACCCUGGAGCAACCUUCUGAGAAGGCCCAUCCGUGAGUCGCCUGGGGGCUGAUGUUCAAUUGCCUGUGGGCAGCAGUGGAGUGAAAGUCAGCUUUGCCCAGACCUCCUGGGAUUGGGAAGCUUCCUGACCAGGAUAGGAAAGAUUUUUAAUUUGCUUAUUCAUAAAUGAGAGACAAGAAAGAAGCAGAGAGAGACACCUGAUGUGGGACUCAAUCCCAGAAUCCUGGGAUCACAACCUGAGCCAAGGUAGACGGUCAACCAUUGAGCCACCCAGGCACUCCAACAGUGACGUUCUUAUUACAGACCAGCAGCAGCCGGUCUCCAGCAGAGCUUAUCCAGUGCAUUGGACACAUGAACACCAGAGCAAAGGCUAGAACCCAGUCUCUUAGUUCCCAGUCUGGCCACCAUUGCUGUGCUGCUCGGGGUCACAUGGUAAUAAAAAUGUAGGACUUUAA